GAUGACGCUGGCGGCGUGCCUAAUACAUGCAAGUCGAGCGAACGGACGAGAAGCUUGCUUCUCUGAUGUUAGCGGCGGACGGGUGAGUAACACGUGGAUAACCUACCUAUAAGACUGGGAUAACUUCGGGAAACCGGAGCUAAUACCGGAUAAUAUUUUGAACCGCAUGGUUCAAAAGUGAAAGACGGUCUUGCUGUCACUUAUAGAUGGAUCCGCGCUGCAUUAGCUAGUUGGUAAGGUAACGGCUUACCAAGGCAACGAUGCAUAGCCGACCUGAGAGGGUGAUCGGCCACACUGGAACUGAGACACGGUCCAGACUCCUACGGGAGGCAGCAGUAGGGAAUCUUCCGCAAUGGGCGAAAGCCUGACGGAGCAACGCCGCGUGAGUGAUGAAGGUCUUCGGAUCGUAAAACUCUGUUAUUAGGGAAGAACAUAUGUGUAAGUAACUGUGCACAUCUUGACGGUACCUAAUCAGAAAGCCACGGCUAACUACGUG
rnacentral:rRNA from 1 species